rnacentral:rRNA from 1 species
UUCGGUGGUUAUAGCGUGAGGGAAACGCCCGGUUACAUUCCGAACCCGGAAGCUAAGCCUCACAGCGCCGAUGGUACUGCAGGGGGGACCC